CUGACUUCAAAAGUUUUCAGAAAUGCCA
rnacentral:piRNA from 1 species